rnacentral:rRNA from 1 species
UACGAAGGUCCCAAGCGUUGUUCGGAAUCACUGGGCGUAAAGGGCGCGUAGGCUGUGAGGUAAGUCGGGUGUGAAAUCCCGGGGCUCAACCCCGGAACUGCACUCGAUACUGCUUUACUAGAGGACUGGAGAGGAGAUUGGAAUUCUCGGUGUAGCAGUGAAGUGCGUAGAUAUCGGGAGGAACACCUGUGGCGAAAGCGAAACUCUGGACAGGUCCUGACGCUGAGGCUCGAAAGCUAGGGGAGCGAAAGGG